UACCGCCACUCGGACUCGAACCGAGAUGCAUUAGCACUGCUUCCUAAGAGCAGCGUGUCUACCAAUUUCACCAUGGCGGC
rnacentral:tRNA from 1 species